rnacentral:rRNA from 1 species
AUACGUAGGUGACAAGCGUUAUCCGGAUUUACUGGGCGUAAAGGGCGUGUAGGCGGUCUUGCAAGUCAGAAGUGAAAUUCCUGAGCUCAACUCGGGCGCUGCUUCUGAAACUGCAGGACUUGAGUGCUGGAGGGGAUAGCGGAAUUCCUAGUGGAGCGGUAACAUGCGCAGUUAUUAGGAAGAACACCGGUGGCGAGGGCGGCUUUCGGGACAGUAACUGGCGCUGAGGCGCGAAGGCUUGGGGAGCAAACAGGAUGAGAUACCCUGGUAGUCAACGCCGUAAACGAUGAAUACUAGGUGUAGGGGGUAUCGACUCCCUCUGUACCGCAGUUAACACAAUAAGUAUCCCGCCUGGGGAGUACGGCCGCAAGGUUGAAACUCAAAUGAAUUGGCGGGG